UGGGGGAGAAAGAUUUAUCGCCUUUGGAUCGGCCCGCGUCGGAUUAGGUAGUUGGUGGGAUAACGGCCUACCAAGCCGACGAUCCGUAGCUGGUUUGAGAGGAUGAUCAGCCACACUGGGACUGAGACACGGCCCAGACUCCUACGGGAAGCAGCAGUGGGGAAUCUUGGACAAUGGAGGCAACCCUGAUCCAGCCAUGCCGCGUGAGCGAUGAAGGCCUUAGGGUUGUAAAGCUCUUUCAGCGGGGAAGAUAAUGACGGUACCCGCAGAAGAAGCCCCGGCUAACUCCGUGCCAGCAGCCGCGGUAAUACGGAGGGGGCUAGCGUUGUUCGGAAUUACUGGGCGUAAAGCGCACGUAGGCGGAUGCUUAAGUCGGAAGUGAAAUCCCGGAGCUCAACCCCGGAACGGCCUUCGAUACUAAGUGUCUGGAGUCCGAGAGAGGUGAGUGGAAUUCCGAGUGUAGAGGUGAAAUUCGUAGAUAUUCGGAGGAACACCAGUGGCGAAGGCAGCUCACUUGACUCGGUACUGACGCUAAAAUGCGAAGCGUGGAGAGCAAUCAGG
rnacentral:rRNA from 1 species